rnacentral:lncRNA from 1 species
GAAGAAUCAAGCCGAUGUUGAUUGCUAGAAACUCAUCAUGUAAAUCGAAGCGAAGAAAACGAGUUUCUAGGGUUUGGAAUUGGUAAAAUAUUCAGAAGCCUUAACUUUAGACGGCCCACAUAGCUUAUUUAUAUGUUUAGAAGACUUAGAAGUAGACUAGGAUUGCAAAAAGUCGAUUUCAAAAACUCGUGUCGUCCUCAGAGACCGGUCCUGUCGAGGAGACCGGUCUGUGAGAGACCGGUCUCUCAAGUGAGGAACCGGUCCCUCUCUGCGUAACCAAAAACCCCACGUUCGGGAACCGGUCUCUCAAACUUGAGACCGGUCCCUCGCUGCGUGACAGAACCACCAAGGUUCGGGAACCGGUCUCUCACCACAGGGGACCGGUUGCAUCAAGGAUUACGCAGUGAGGACCUUGGGGGAACCGGUCUCUCCAUCUCAGAGACCGGUCCCAUAACACAUGAAUGUUCAGGAAUUUGUUUUUAAAGCAAUCUAAGUCUUCUGAACUUAUUUUAAACAAGUAUCUUCACCACAAAUGAUCUUUUCUAUAUACCUUAGGUGUCGAUCUUUCCGAAUGAGUCUUUGUCCUCCAAUUUGAAUCUUUUCUCAAAAUCUUCUGCAAUCAACUCUUCAAGACUCCAAACAACUUUACGAAAUUCGCCAACCUAUAAAAUCCUUAACACAUAUAAGGCGUCUACACUAAAAGCGGAAGUAAAAGCAGGAGGUAGAACAAAUAAA